ACACAUGCAAGUCGAACGAUGAAGCCCUUCGGGGUGGAUUAGUGGCGAACGGGUGAGUAACACGUGGGCAAUCUGCCCUUCACUCUGGGACAAGCCCUGGAAACGGGGUCUAAUACCGGAUAACACUCUGUCCCGCAUGGGACGGGGUUGAAAGCUCCGGCGGUGAAGGAUGAGCCCGCGGCCUAUCAGCUUGUUGGUGGGGUGAUGGCCUACCAAGGCGACGACGGGUAGCCGGCCUGAGAGGGCGACCGGCCACACUGGGACUGAGACACGGCCCAGACUCCUACGGGAGGCAGCAGUGGGGAAUAUUGCACAAUGGGCGAAAGCCUGAUGCAGCGACGCCGCGUGAGGGAUGACGGCCUUCGGGUUGUAAACCUCUUUCAGCAGGGAAGAAGCGAGAGUGACGGUACCUGCAGAAGAAGCGCCGGCUAACUACGUGCCAGCAGCCGCGGUAAUACGUAGGGCGCAAGCGUUGUCCGGAAUUAUUGGGCGUAAAGAGCUCGUAGGCGGCUUGUUGCGUCGGUUGUGAAAGCCCGGGGCUUAACCCCGGGUCUGCAGUCGAUACGGGCAGGCUAGAGUGUGGUAGGGGAGAUCGGAAUUCCUGGUGUAGCGGUGAAAUGCGCAGAUAUCAGGAGGAACACCGGUGGCGAAGGCGGAUCUCUGGGCCAUUACUGACGCUGAGGAGCGAAAGCGUGGGGAGCGAACAGGAUUAGAUACCCUGGUAGUCCACGCCGUAAACGUUGGGAACUAGGUGUUGGCGACAUUCCACGUCGUCGGUGCCGCAGCUAACGCAUUAAGUU
rnacentral:rRNA from 1 species